GUCUACAGCCAUAACACCCUGAACACGUCUGAUCUUGUCUGAUCUCGGAAGCUAAGCAGAGUUGGGCCUGGUUAGUACUUGAAUGGGAGAAAAUGUUCUGUGUAAC
rnacentral:rRNA from 1 species